AGGGGAACACCCACACUUGUUCUCCCUUCCCAAGCUUUGAUUUUUACUCUAUAAGUUUUGCCUGCUUCAAGACCUUACUGCUAUAUGGACUCGGUUUGAAAGCCAUUUGAUUUUAAUCUGUAACUUUCUUUGGCACUGUGUUUUUAAUUGUUUCAAUUCUGGGUUUCGUUUAAUAGUUUUACUGUGUGUUGGUCUUGGUUAAGGUUACACUGGUUUGGCUUUUGGUCAUUGCUUUAGUAUCAAUAAAGUUAUUUUUCUUAUUUUUGUUUAUUGAGGAAACCUA